AUGCAAGGGUGGUCGGAGAGAUUGUUUGCUUGUGCAGGGCGAGAAACUUUGAUCAAAUCAAUUGCCCAGGCGAUUCCCACUUUCAGCAUGAGUUGUUUUCUCCUGACCAAGAAGGUGUGCAAGAGUUUGACAUCCAAUAUGGCAAGAUACUGGUGGAGUAGUUCGAUCGAUAACCGUUCUCUGCACUGGAUGUCUUGGAAGAAACUUGCAUCACCUAAGUGUAGUGGAGGUAUGGGUUUUCGAGACCUACAUCUUUUCAACUUGGCCCUACUCGGUAAGCAGGGAUGGCGGCUGUUGACAAGCCCGGAUUCGCUGUGUGCUCGAGUUCUAAAGGGCAGGUAUUUUCCGGACUCGGAUUUCAUGCAGGCCUCAGCUCCUAAACGUUCAUCUGCAACUUGGAGGGCCAUUAUAUCUGGCCGGGAGGCUUUACUCACCGGACUAAUCAAGAGGGUGGGCGAUGGAUCAUCCAUUGCGGUCUGGGAUGACCGAUGGAUUCCAUCUACAACAACAAUGGCGCCAUUGUUCAGGCCUCCAAAUACCAAUAUUUCUUGGGUAAGCGAUCUCAUCGAUACCGAAAACUGGACAUGGCGGCGGCAGUUGGUUCGGGACACAUUCAUCUCACCAGACGCGGAGGCCAUCCUCAAUAUUCCACUCCGGUCUGGUGGGGGUGAUGAUUUCCUUGCUUGGACACAUGAAACUUCAGGUAACUACACCGUUAAAUCGGCGUACCGUGCUCUUAUGAUUCGCAACGAGCGUCAAGCUCUAGAAGAAGGGACGGAUACCAGAUCCUCGAUUGAUAAUCAGCGGCUGUGGAAUGGUUUGUGGAAGUUGAAUGUGAUGCCAAAAGUGAAGGUGUUCUUCUGGCGGGUGCUACGGGGAAUUCCGCCUGAUGAGUGUACCCUUAAGCAUCGGCACUUGAGACGGAUACGACUUUGCAAAAUAUGCAUGGCGAUGGAUGAGGACAUGGAGCAUGCUCUGUUGAUAUACUCACACGCACGACAAUUUUGGGAUGAAGCUCAACAGCUUUUUGACUUCCAUAUGCCGCGACUACACCCAGAUACUUGGGCGAGAGACAUAAUCUGUGACGACAGCUUCACGAGUAGAGACCAAGCCAUCAUAGUUUCAGUUAUGUGGUCGGUUUGGCACUCUAGAAACAAGCUGGCGCAUGGGGAAGACACUCUGGAUCCUGCUUUUUCAGUUCGCAGAACCAGGGAAACACUCUCACUUCUGGAGAUCCCUCGGAGUCAUGCAAUCUUGUUGCCUGGACAUGGAUGGCGCCCCCCGGACAUGGAAUUUGUAAAAAUCAACACCGAUGCUGCGAUCCGUAGGGAGGACGGCAAGGGUGACGGGGGCGGAGUUGCUCGAUCAGCAAGUUCCUUUCAAGGUGCUUGGAACAAACCAUACCCGGGUGUGACUGACCCCCUCAUCGCGGAGACGAUGGCAGUUGGUGACGGCGUCAUCUUCGCCAAGCUACGGGAUUUUUCGAAAGUCGUGCUCGAGACAGAUUGCUUGGAGGUAGUCAACCUUUGGGCCGCUCGGCACGAUUCGCGCUCUAUUGUGGCACCCAUCUUAGUAGAAAUUGAAGAGCUAGCUGGCACUUUUACUUCAUUUGUAUUUCAGCAUGUAUCUAGGUCAGCUAACGGUCCAGCUCAUAUCUGUGCUAAGCAUGCUUGCACGAUUGAUGGAACCGAGAGUUGGCUUGACAACACUCCUAGCUUCCUGAUCAGCAGCCUAUUGGCUGACUGCUCGGCGAACGCCUUCGUUUAA
rnacentral:rRNA from 1 species